rnacentral:rRNA from 1 species
UACGGAGGGGGCUAGCGUUGUUCGGAAUUACUGGGCGUAAAGCGUACGUAGGCGGCUUUGUAAGUUAGAGGUGAAAGCCCGGGGCUCAACUCCGGAAUUGCCUUUAAGACUGCAUCGCUUGAAUCAUGGAGAGGUUAGUGGAAUUCCGAGUGUAGAGGUGAAAUUCGUAGAUAUUCGGAAGAACACCAGUGGCGAAGGCGACUAACUGGACAUGUAUUGACGCUGAGGUUCGAAAGCGUGGGGAGCAAACAGG